GUUUGUAGUGAGUGCAGUGUGAAUAAUAAAUGUACUGUGUUUGUAGUGAAUGCAGAGUGUGUAUAAUAAAUGUAGUGUGUGCAUAAUGAAUGCAGAGUGUGUAUAGUGAAUGUAGUGAGUGCAGAGUGUGUAUAGUGAAUGUAGUGUGUUUGUAGUGAGUGCAGAGUGUGUAUAAUGAAUGCAGUGUGUGUAGUGAGUGCAGAGUGUGUAUAAUGAAUGUAGUGUGUUUGUAGUAAUUGCAGAUUGUGUAUAAUGAAUGCAGUGUGUAUAAUGAAUGUAGUGUGUUUGUAGUGAAUGCAGAGUGUGUAUAAUGAAUGUAGUGUGUUUGUAGUGAGUGCAGAGUAUGAAUAAUGAAUGUAGUGUGUUUGUAGUGAAUGCAGAGUGUGUAUAAUGAAUGUAGUGUGUUUGUAGUGAGUGCAGUGUGUAUAAUAAAUGUAGUGUGUUUGUAGUGAUGCAGAGUGUGUAUAGUGAAUGUAGUGAGUGCAGUGUGUAUAUGAAUGUAGUGUGUUUGUAGUAAUUGCAGAUUGUGUAUAUGAAAUGUAGUGAGUGCAGUGUGUAUAAUGAAUGUAGUGUGUUUGUAGUGAGUGCAGUGUGUAUAAUAAAUGUAGUGUGUUUGUAGUGAGUGCAGAGUGUGUAUAGUGAAUGUAGUGAGUGCAGUGUGUAUAGUGAAUGUAGUGUGUUUGUAGUGAGUGCAGAUUGUGUAUAAUGAAUGCAGUGUGUGUAGUGAAUGUAGUGUUUUGUAGUGAGUGCAGAUUGUGUAUAGUGAAUGUAGUGAGUGCAGAGUGUGUAUAGUGAAUGCAGUGUGUGUAGUGAGUGCAGAGUGCAGGGCCGAGUGAGUGCAGAGUGUCAUGGGCCUGACGGUCCUGGGGGCCCGGACUGCUCAUU